rnacentral:rRNA from 1 species
UACAGAGGGGCAAGCGUUGUUCGGAAUUACUGGGCGUAAAGGCGCGUAGGCGGCCUGCUAAGUCGAACGUGAAAUCCCUGGCUCAACCCAGGAACUGCGUCCGAUACUGGUUGGCUUGAAUCCGGGAGAGGGAUGUGGAAUUCCAGGUGUAGCGGUGAAAUGCGUAGAUAUCUGGAGGAACACCGGUGGCGAAGGCGACAUCCUGGACCGGUAUUGACGCUGAUGCGCGAAAGCUAGGGAGCAAAGCGGG